AAAAAAAUCUAAAAUUUUCUUCUGAUAUUUUUUUCUUGAUCUGGAAUAUUUCACGACAAUCUAUGAAGGUUUAUAAAUUGAGCAUGUAAAACAAUUAACCGCGUAAAGAAGAUUCCGGCUAUCCGGCUGUCUAUCAGAAAAGAACAGAAAAUGAACGAAAAAAAUGCUUUCAAAAUUUUAGCUUUAGACAUAAGUAAUAGAAAAGGCUUCUUCGGCAUUUUCAUAAAAUUCGAUGAAGGUUCGACAAGUAGUUCAUGUAAUUGAGAAAUAACAAAAUGUACGCCCAAACUGCGACCACUUAUCAAUUGCAGAAAGAAAUACAUUUUGUCCUUAAAAUGUGGG
rnacentral:lncRNA from 1 species